GAUGAACGCUGGCGGCGUGCCUAAUACAUGCAAGUCGAGCGAACAGACGAGGAGCUUGCUCCUCUGACGUUAGCGGCGGACGGGUGAGUAACACGUGGAUAACCUACCUAUAAGACUGGGAUAACUUCGGGAAACCGGAGCUAAUACCGGAUAAUAUAUUGAACCGCAUGGUUCAAUAGUGAAAGACGGUUUUGCUGUCACUUAUAGAUGGAUCCGCGCCGCAUUAGCUAGUUGGGAAGGUAACGGCUUACCAAGGCAACGAUGCGUAGCCGACCUGAGAGGGUGAUCGGCCACACUGGAACUUAGACACGGUCCAGACUCCUGCGGGAGGCAGCAGUAGGGAAUCUUCCGCAAUGGGCGAAAGCCUGACGGAGCAACGCCGCGUGAGUGAUGAAGGUCUUCGGAUCGUAAAACUAUGUUAUUAGGGAAGAACAAAUGUGUAAGUAACUAUGCACGUCUUGACGGUACCUAAUCAGAAAGCCACGGCUAACUACGUG
rnacentral:rRNA from 1 species